rnacentral:rRNA from 1 species
CUACGGGCCGCAGCAGUCGAGAAUCUUCCGCAAUGGGCGCAAGCCUGACGGAGCAAUGCCGCGUGAGGGAUGACGGCCCUAGGGUUGUAAACCUCUGUCAGAAGGGACGAAGAACGUGACGGUACCUUCAGAGGAAGCCAUGGCUAACUACGUGCCAGCAGCCGCGGUAAUACGUAGAUGGCGAGCGUUAUUCGGAUUUACUGGGCGUAAAGGGUCCGUAGGGGGUCUGCCAAGUCUGAUGUGAAAUCCUGCGGCUCAACCGCGGAACUGCAUUGGAAACUGGCGGACUAGAGUGUGCGAGGGGUGAGCGGAAUUCCUGGUGUAGCGGUGGAAUGCGUAGAUAUCAGGAAGAACACCGAUUGCGAAGGCGGCUCACUGGCGCAUCACUGACCCUGAGGGACGAAAGCGUGGGUAGCAAACAGGAUUAGAUACCCUCGUAGUC